rnacentral:rRNA from 1 species
AACGAACGCUGGCGGCAUGCCUAACACAUGCAGGUCGAACGAGACCUUCGGGUCUAGUGGCGCACGGGUGCGUAACGCGUGGGAACCUGCCCUUAGGUUCGGAAUAACUCCCCGAAAGGGGUGCUAAUACCGGAUAAUGUCUUCGGACCAAAGAUUUAUCGCCUUUGGAUGGGCCCGCGUUGGAUUAGCUAGUUGGUAGGGUAAAAGCCUACCAAGGCGACGAUCCAUAGCUGGUCUGAGAGGAUGAUCAGCCACACUGGGACUGAGACACGGCCCAGACUCCUACGGGAGGCAGCAGUGGGGAAUAUUGGACAAUGGGCGAAAGCCUGAUCCAGCAAUGCCGCGUGAGUGAUGAAGGCCUUAGGGUUGUAAAGCUCUUUUACCCGGGAUGAUAAUGACAGUACCGGGAGAAUAAGCUCCGGCUAACCCCGUG